rnacentral:lncRNA from 1 species
UGGAAGUGUUGCUGCGCGCGGGCUCUACAUCAGCAGCACUGCUGAUGGCUGUGUGAGUAACCACCUGCAGCAUGCACAGCUCUGCUAAACACCAAGGUGCCACUGGCCAUCCAUCCUCAGGCUGUCCUGAAGGAAUGAAGUCGCACAAGUAGUUUGUUUUUACCGGAGAGGGGAAUUUACCAUUAUGUGGCCAAGUAAGAAAAGACGUUGCUGUACCAUUCAAGCCCUUUUCAAGAUAACAAGGACCACAAGAUUUUCUCUCUAGAUGUCUUUGUUGCAAAUAGAGAUGCUCUGG